CUGGGGGUGCUGGUUGACAGCAGGCUCAAUGUGAGUCAGCAGUGCGCCCUGGCAGCCCAGAGGGCAAACUGCGUCCUGGGGGGCAUCAAACACAGCGUAACCAGCCAGUCAAAAGAGGGGAUUAUCCCACUGCAUUCAGCACAGGU